UACGGAGGAUUCGAGCGUUAUCCGGAUUUAUUGGGUUUAAAGGGAGCGUAGGCGGGUUGUUAAGUCAGUUGUGAAAGUUUGCGGCUCAACCGUAAAAUUGCAGUUGAUACUGGCAUCCUUGAGUACAGUAGAGGUAGGCGGAAUUCGUGGUGUAGCGGUGAAAUGCUUAGAUAUCACGAAGUACUCCGAUUGCGAAGGCAGCCUGCUGGACUGUAACUGACGCUGAUGCUCGAAAGUGUGGGUAUCAAACAGG
rnacentral:rRNA from 1 species